rnacentral:rRNA from 1 species
UACGUAGGGUGCGAGCGUUGUCCGGAAUUAUUGGGCGUAAAGAGCUCGUAGGCGGUCUGUCGCGUCGGCUGUGAAAACUCGGGGCUCAACUCCGAGCUUGCAGUCGAUACGGGCAGGCUAGAGUUCGGCAGGAGAGUGGAAUUCCUGGUGUAGCGGUGAAAUGCGCAGAUAUCAGGAAGAACACCCGUGGCUAAGGCGGCUCUCUAGUACGGUACUGACGCUGAGACGCGAAAGCGUGGGGAGCGAACAGG